rnacentral:rRNA from 1 species
CCCUUAGAUGUUCUGGGCCGCACGCGCGCUACACUGACGAAUGCAACGAGCUUAUAACCUUGGCCGAAAGGUCUGGGUAAUCUCCAAAUUUCGUCGUGAUGGGGAUAGAUUAUUGCAAUUAUUAAUCUUCAACGAGGAAUGCCUAGUAAGCGCAAGUCAUCAGCUUGCGUUGAUUACGUCCCUGCCCUUUGUACACACCGCCCGUCGCUCCUACCGAUUGAAUGGUCCGGUGAAGCGUGCGGACCGUGGCCUUUGGACGGUUCGCCGUCUGUUGGCUGCGGGAAGUUCGUUAAACCUUAUCAUUUAGAGGAAGGAGAAGUCGUAACA